rnacentral:rRNA from 1 species
AUUGAACGCUGGCGGCAUGCUUUACACAUGCAAGUCGAACGGCAGCACGGGGCAACCUGGUGGCGAGUGGCGAACGGGUGAGUAAUACAUCGGAACGUGCCCAAUCGUGGGGGAUAACGUAGCGAAAGUUACGCUAAUACCGCAUACGAUCUACGGAUGAAAGCGGGGGAUCGCAAGACCUCGCGCGAAUGGAGCGGCCGAUGUCAGAUUAGGUAGUUGGUGGGGUAAAGGCUCACCAAGCCAACGAUCUGUAGCUGGUCUGAGAGGACGACCAGCCACACUGGAACUGAGACACGGUCCAGACUCCUACGGGAGGCAGCAGUGGGGAAUUUUGGACAAUGGGCGCAAGCCUGAUCCAGCAAUGCCGCGUGCAGGAUGAAGGCCUUCGGGUUGUAAACUGCUUUUGUACGGUAACGAAAAGCUUCGGGCUAAUACCCUGAAGUCAUGACGGUACCGUAAGAAUAAGCACCGGCUAACUACGUGCCAGCAGACCG